GAUGAACGCUGGCGGCGUGGAUAAGGCAUGCAAGUCGAACGAAAUAGAUUAAUUUAAUAUGGUUAGUGGCAGACGGGGUAGUAACACGUAGGAACUCACCCCAGAGACGGACACAACGCCGCGAAAGCGGGGCUAAGAUCCAAUAGUCUUCGAUCUUGCAGGAGCGUCGGAGGGAAUCGAGCAAUGGGGUCUGGGAGAGGCCCGCGGCUUAUCAGCUUGUUGGUGGGGUAGUGGCUUACCAAGGCGAUGACGGCUAGCCGGCGUGAUAGGGUGACCGGCCACAUUGGGACUGAGAUACGGCCCAGACUCCUACGGGAGGCAGCAGUGGGGAAUAUUGCACAAUGGUCGGAAGCCUGAUGCAGCAACGCCGCGUGCGGGAUGACGGCCUUCGGGUUGUAAACCGCUUUCGCCUGUGACGAAGCGUGAGUGACGGUAAUGGGUAAAGAAGCACCGGCUAACUACGUG
rnacentral:rRNA from 1 species